UACGUAGGGUGCAAGCGUUGUCCGGAAUUAUUGGGCGUAAAGAGCUCGUAGGCGGUCUGUCGCGUCUGCUGUGAAAACUCAGGGCUUAACCCUGAGCUUGCAGUGGGUACGGGCAGACUAGAGUGCGGUAGGGGAGACUGGAAUUCCUGGUGUAGCGGUGAAAUGCGCAGAUAUCAGGAGGAACACCGGUGGCGAAGGCAGUUCUCUGGGCCGUAACUGACGCUGAGGAGCGAAAGCGUGGGGAGCGAACAGG
rnacentral:rRNA from 1 species